AGAUUGAACGCUGGCGGCAGGCCUAACACAUGCAAGUCGAGCGGUAGAGAGGUGCUUGCACCUCUUGAGAGCGGCGGACGGGUGAGUAAUGCCUAGGAAUCUGCCUAGUGGUGGGGGAUAACGUUCGGAAACGGACGCUAAUACCGCAUACGUCCUACGGGAGAAAGCGGGGGACCUUCGGGCCUCGCGCCAUUAGAUGAGCCUAGGUCGGAUUAGCUAGUUGGUGAGGUAAUGGCUCACCAAAGGCGACGAUCCGUAACUGGUCUGAGAGGAUGAUCAGUCACACUGGAACUGAGACACGGUCCAGACUCCUACGGGAGCAGCAGUGGGGAAUAUUGGACAAUGGGCGAAAGCCUGAUCCAGCCAUGCCGCGUGUGUGAAGAAGGUCUUCGGAUUGUAAAGCACUUUAAGUUGGAGGAAGGUCUAGUAACUUAAUACGUUGACUAAUUGACGUUACCGACAAGAAUAACGACGACCGGACUUAACCGUCGUACGCCGACGACACGACCCGUAA
rnacentral:rRNA from 1 species